AAGCCAACAAUUAAAACUAAAACACGUUUUCUAAAAUAAAACACAAUAUUUAAAAACAAAAAUUAAUUUUUAAAAUUACAAUAAUUAUCUGAAUCUUCAUUCUUGUCGGUCCUCUCUCGCUCUCCUAGGGUUCUCUCGCAAUCUUCGUCUUCAUCAUUCUAUCGGGAUCUUGGUUCCACCGUCGCCAUCGACCACCCGUGCAAAAUCGCCCAAAUCGCGAUCGAUCGGAGGAUUUAUCAAUGGAUCCUCAUCCGGCUUCACCCGUCGACCUUGUUCGGCAGUCGCCUGAGAAGCCAUAUUCCGAUCUUUCACUCUUUGACUCUGAUCUUUACAGAUCCAUGGUGCUGGAGACGUACGGGAUCUUCGACAGUGGGCUUGAGACCUUCGAGACGGGGGGCCGUCGGCUGUCUGUUGAAAUGCCUUACUCUUGUAUAGGCUCGGAAUAUUUGGCCUCCGAGGUGCCAGAAUCGCCCCACCUAUACUCCGGCUGGGUUGUGCCAGACUCCAAGGAUGCCAUUGUGUGUCCGUCGCCUGUUGUCGUUCAAAACGACAUGGCCAAAAAAAACCCUUAGCUGGAAUCGAUGCUCGUAGCCGCAGUGAAGUGUUCCUUCAGUUCCUGAGGAUUUACUAUCCUUUUGCGACCACCUUGCAUGAGUUCUCUGAGGUGUACGUUGGAGGAGAUUUGGGUGAAGUUAUAAAAAUCCAGAAAGUAUCGGUAGGAGGUACGCAUGGCACCUCCGGGACAGGGGACGUCUCGGGAGAUAGAAAGACGGGCUGAAUGAGUGAACUGCAUCUGAUGUAUUAUAUGUAAAUUCUAACUAGAAAAACCUCCCGUUUUGGGAGUAUGUUUUUGUAAAUAUUUAUAAACUAUUUUUUUGGGAAUAAUAAAAUGCUUAUAUAAUUAAUUUUAGCCUUAACACUGUGUUGUGGGGCCCGAAGUAGAAGGUGACGACCUCAUGAUGCAGUGUGGCGGUAGCAUUUCCAGUAUGAGCCAACUGGGGGUGUUACAAUAUAUGUGCAAGACUUUUUGCAUAACUAGCUUCCACUCGAUGACGAUUUUCUUCCGAGAGUGUCUCAAUCGUGCAUAGUUGUAUCGGAUGCUUACUUUAUAAGUAAUGCAACCACUGUGCAUUUGAAUUCAUAGUCACUGCCCCCCUCGAUGAAGGCUAACGUCUGAGAGUAUAUUGAAUAUGUUCUUUGAUAGUCCUAUAUUGUAUUUGGAGGCUUACUUUUAAAGUAAUGCAACCACUGUGCAUUUGAAUUCGUAGGCAUUCCGCCCCACUUGAUGAAAAUUAUCUUAUGAGUUACUGAUUGUGCUCUUUGAUGACCAUAUGAUGCAUUUUGUAUUUGGAGACUUACUUUUAAAGUAAUGCAGCCACAUAUGCAUUGAAAUUUGUACACCUCAACCCUUACUUGAUGAUGAUUAGUAUCUAAUAGCACCCAAUAAAUGUCAAUUAAUUUGAGAGUGAGUUGAUGACACUGUAUGAUGAUAAAUUAUGAAAAGAGACAUACAAAAUGUUCCGCAUAUGCAUAUUAUCCCAUCCAAAGAUUUGUUGAGCGUACAAAUCGAUUUAAUUAUCCUACAAAAGAGAUUAUUAGUUAUUGUUUAAACAACCUCUCUAAAUAGAGAUGUUUUAUAGCAAUAAUCAUAACUUAUCCCAUCAUUAAAAGCAUGUUUUACUACACAUACGCAUUUAUAUAUUGCUAAAACUCCUCUAUAUAAGUUAUAAAGUCCUCCGGACCUUCCACUUCAUUUAAGUCCAUCAAAUGAUCAAUACAUGCUUUGAUCAUCUCAUGGUCAACUUGAAUGUCUUCCGGGAGAUUCCAUGACCUUCUCGAAAACUCUUUUUCUAGGUGAAGGAUCUUAUAAUUGUUUAUCCAAAAUUAGCCAUUAUCUUGCCAAGACAUGCUUGCAAAUUUAGAAAUACUGAGUUUAGAGCUGUAUGUGAGAGCUGCUCAAAUGAUUUGUGAACUGCAUUUGGUAACGGUGGGACUAAUGGUGGGAAUUUUUUUCCUUGAUGAGAAGGGUUAACAUGAUGUGAGUAUGAUAUGAUUAUCCCUCUUUGGGAGAGAAAUGAAUUUGUUUUGGAGGCUAUUUUGUGCACUAGUUUUUAUCUAUAUUCACUGUGAUUUUUAUUGUGUGAUGCCAUGAUGUUUUAUUGCCAUUUCUACUGAUAUAUUGCAUUGUCUACUG